rnacentral:rRNA from 1 species
UACGAAGGGGGCUAGCGUUGCUCGGAAUCACUGGGCGUAAAGGGUGCGUAGGCGGGUCUUUAAGUCAGGGGUGAAAUCCUGGAGCUCAACUCCAGAACUGCCUUCGAUACUGAGAGUCUUGAGUCCGGGAGAGGUGAGUGGAACUGCGAGUGUAGAGGUGAAAUUCGUAGAUAUUCGCAAGAACACCAGUGGCGAAGGCGGCUCACUGGCCCGGUACUGACGCUGAGGUGCGAAAGCGUGGGGAGCAAACAGGG